rnacentral:rRNA from 1 species
CAUGAAGCCGGAAUCGCUAGUAAUCGCGGGUCAGCAUACCGCGGUGAAUGUGUUCCUGAGCCUUGUACACACCGCCCGUCAAGCCACGAAAGUGGGGGGCGUCCGAAGUCGCCGUGGUAACCCGAGUAGGUAACCAAAGGGAGCUAAGCGCCGAAGACGAACUCCGCGAUUGGGACUAAGUCGUAACAAGGUAGCCGUAGGGGAACCUGCGGCUGGAUCACCUCCUUUCUAAGGA